rnacentral:rRNA from 1 species
GAUGAACGUUGGCGGUGUGCCUAAUACAUGCAAGUCGAACGGAGACUGUAGCAAUACUGUCUUAGUGGCGAACGGGUGAGUAACGCGUUGGUGAUCUGCCUCGAAGUGUGGAAUAACCUCCCGAAAGGGAAGCUAAUACCGCAUAGUCUCUCAAGGUUUAGAAAAUUGAGAGUAAAGGAUUUAUUCGCUUCGAGAGGAGCCUGCGUCCCAUCAGCUAGUUGGUAGGGUAACGGCCUACCAAGGCAAUGACGGGUAGGGGACCUGAGAGGGUGGCCCCCCACAAUGGAACUGAAACACGGUCCAUACACCUACGGGUGGCAGCAGUAGGGAAUAUUAGAAAUGGGCGGAAGCCUGAUCUAGCAACACCGCGUGUGCGAUGAAGGCCUUCGGGUCGUAAAGCACUUUUUGGAGGGAAUAGGAAGGAAGGUACCUCCACGAAUAAGUACUCGGCGUAACUACGUGCCAGCAGCCGCGGUAAACGGUACUACUG